UAGAAGAUGAGAAACAUAACGUUGCUUGUG
rnacentral:piRNA from 1 species